CAACAAUCCUACCUCUCAUCUAAUACACUACAAAGUCACCUUUUGGUAUCUUUGUCCAGUUAUGAGAAGCCCCAGCCAUCCGGGAAGCCAUCGUUAUGGUGCAGUGGAAUGCUUGCUAUAUUUCCUCAUGGAGAUGCACCUCUGGUGACAGGUGCUGACAGAAUUUCCAUCUUUGAGAGUGGCGGUACAGAGAACAUAGCUUCUAUGAUGCAUUGUCAGCUGACGGCUUAAAGUUCCCUCCUGUGUUUUCAAAGCCAGCAAUUGCAGGCUGCAUUGCUCUCACACUGUGAAUCUUCCUGUCCACUCCCACCUUGUACCAGAAUUAUGAGUAAGAUGAAUAGUCUGUUGUGGGACUCAUGAGAUCGACCAUCUCGUUCUAAUAUUACCACUAAAUGACCAGCUGGCUUUCGAUUUCUCCCCAUGCUGUAUUUACACAAUUAAUUUUGGAUGGGAGAGGUGGGACCUUCAGUGUACCUCAGGCUAACACGUUGACCAGUGGGAGCUCUGCAGGCACCUUGGAGAUACCAGGGAUCCCUCCUCUGCAUAUCAAGAAAUGCCGUAUACAUGAAGUCCCUGCAGGCAGCCAUGUGACAAGAUGAACACAACCCCUAUCGUGGGAGCUCCAGGUUCUGUGGAGAUCAAAUCAGUUCCAGGGUAGGAACGCUGUUUGUUUCGGUCCGAUAAGAGCCACGCCCUCCUGUUUAAUCUUGAAGGGCAUGUUUUGGGCUCCAUCUCUCUGGUUCUCCGUUCAUCCCAGAGAUGUUGCUGGACUUUGGGAGGGAGAAAGCAGUGUUCCAUGCGUGCCCCCUUAAGCCCUAGUAGCAAUCCUUUUGGACCAGUGGCAAAGUGAUUUCUCAGCUGUGAACUAACAGUUUUCUUUGGAAUGAAUUGUGCUCUUUCAAUUUUCCACUUCAAAAGCACACACUUUAGCAGAAGUCACUUUAUAGCAAAUGAAGAGAGGAAUUUCCCCUGGGGAGAGGGGUUUGAUAGUUACAGGAGGG